rnacentral:misc_RNA from 1 species
ACACCUCAACUUCUCAUGGUUUGCCAUGAUGAGCUUGGACUUUGGGGGUCUUGCUGGCCUAUGGUUGGCUCCUCUCAAAUGGAUCAGCUUUGCCAGUGUUUGGUGGCACCACAGGUGUGAUAAAUAUCUACGCUUGCGGUUUUCCACCAUGUAACCUUCAGCAAUGAAGGUUCGCUGGAGCUCACAAAUGUCUCUCCCCAGCGAGGACAGCUUUUUGAAC